UACGUAGGGGGCAAGCGUUGUCCGGAUUUAUUGGGCGUAAAGAGCGUGUAGGCGGCCAGGUAGGUCAGCUGUGAAAACUCGAGGCUCAACCUCGAGACGUCGGUUGAAACCACCUGGCUAGAGUCCGGAAGAGGAGAGUGGAAUUCCUGGUGUAGCGGUGAAAUGCGCAGAUAUCAGGAAGAACACCCAUGGCGAAGGCGGCUCUCUGGGACGGUACUGACGCUGAGGAGCGAAAGCGUGGGGAGCAAACAGG
rnacentral:rRNA from 1 species